UUUCCAUUUUGGAAAAAAAGGGAUGUUAACAUUUUUAGAGUAGUAUAUUAGCAACCAAGAAAGAGGCCCCAAGAUCCUGAUAUCAGCCAACGUGAUAUUUACCAGUUCCUGUUUUCCAUCUCCCCUGCCAAAAAGAAAUUAUUUUUAAAAUGGAAAUUUCCGAACACACAUAAAAGUAGAGAGAUGAGUAUAGUGAGCCUCCAUGUAGCCUCACCACUACUACAAGAAUUCUAGCACUUCCGCCUCUCAUUUCAUCUAUCUGCUGGCCCUUCCCCAACUACUUUUUGCUAUAGCAUUUUUAAGGACAUGUCAGAUACCACCUGUAAAUACUUUAGCACACAUCUCUAGCUGAUAACAUUUGUAAAAGCAUAACCAUCAUACCAUUACCACACUUAAAAUUAACAAUUGCUCAAUACUAGCUAAUACUCAGUACAACUGCCUCACAGAUUUCUUUUUUAUAUUUAGUUUGUUUACAUCAUGAUUAAUAUAAGGCCCAUAUAUUACACUGAUUGCUAAAGCUCUAGUCUCUUUUACAAUAUUUUUUGUUGUUUUUGUAAAGCCACUGAUUUCUUAUGAGAAACUGGUUCAUUUAUGCUACAAAUGGCAAAAAAAAACCUUUCUUUUGACUAAACAUCUCUUCUAGAAAUGAUAAUGACCAAUAUGAAAAUAAAAAGCAAUAAUGUAGACGCUUAGGAGUGAAUUCUCUAAUACACACUUUGUCCCAAAACACGCUAAAGGGAUUGCAUCUCAUUUCCCGACAAAUACACUGAACCUAUUGGGGUUAAUUUGAACCAUAUUAGAAGUCCAUGAAUCCAUUAGAAUCAUCUGGAGCAGGAACUUUUUUCAAUUCAAUUGCAAGUGAAAUUCAGUCUACAUUUGAAAAGUACUAACAAGAUGUAUAAAUUCUAUCAAUCUCAAACUACAUACACAGUCCAGAAAUGGAAUUGCAAUGGAGAAAGGACUUCAGAGGCCCCCUGGGUAACAGAUGAACAUUGCCAAGUCUUAAGUAAUUAUCUAAUUUUCUUCUAACCUCAAGGCAUGCUGGGGCAUCUGGGAGUUGUCAGGGAAUGCAGGUGUGCACACCCAGGGCCUCAGCGUGUUACAACACAGCCAAGGAAAUGGCAAAGCAAUGCUGUUCAAAUAAAAAUGUAGACAGACCCAGAGUUUAGAAGAGGUGACUAUACCAACUGUGGCUCAAGGCAUCUGAGGUUAGUCAGCCAGUACUACAGGGAACCAUUUCCCUCCAACUCUUGUCCACACCAGAUUCAAAUUUUAUUUUCUGUUAAGCUUGGAAAGCCAGUAUCUUGGGAAGAAAAGGUUCAAAAAGCCCCAGGCACAAGAGAGAAGAAUACAAUAAAAAAUGCAACAAAAGGAAAGAGAAAGCAUGAGAUGAUUUCUUUUUCCCAGUAGUUUUCUGUUAAAUUUCCCUCCAACCGUUUUAGGAAUUACAAUACUUAACAUCCUCAAUAGGCUACAUCAGCAGUUGAAGAAGUGAACCAAUACCAGCUCAUGAUCAGUGAUCCAUUUUCUUAUUCUCUUGGCAGGGCUGCACUUAGCCUCCAGAGUUGUCUCUUCAACAAGACAGGUCUGAUCAUCUCAGUAACCUUCUUCUGGGACUCCUGUUAGACGUGUAUAUUUAAUACCAUUGGCUAAGUCGUAACAAUCAUCCAAGUCAACCGACCUCCCAGCCUGCCCACAUUGCCUCCCUGUAGGAAGUGAUUUUGCACACAGAAGCCCCUGGUGGGGUAGGGUGGAGUGUGAAGUAUCUGUUCUUGGACCACAGUUCCAUCCCUGGAGCAGCAAUUGUGAAGCAUCGUUCUCCUGUUCCAGCAUCUCUCCAAAGACGCUCAGGUCUCCGUCACAGGAUCACCAUUGAAAAAGGUGUCUGUCCCUCUGACACAUACCCAGGGGAGGAAAGAGCAAGCUUUGGAGGCACCUGGUUGACUUCACCUGGAGAAACAUAAAAGUCUGCUAAAGGUUGCUAGAAUUUUUUCUGAUUUAAAACAAAAUGAAACAAAGAAAGCCGACGACAUAGUUUGGAUCUGUGUUCCUGCCGCAGUCUCACGUGGAACUGCAGUCCCCAGUUUUGGAGAUCUUGUUGGGUCUGUAGUUUAUGCCUGGAAGUGCUGCAGCCUUUUUGCAUCCAUGAAGGAAUCUAGCCUGAGAACAACAGUACCACGAAGAGAGAAUGCCGAGCCAAAAGAAUCACCAAGAGGGGACCCAGAUCCCUGAUUAACCCGUGCCUGGAGCUACCACUACCUUUGCUUUCUUGCCUCAUGUGAUAAUACAUUUCCUCACUGUUUGAAAUUCAUUGAGUCCAGUUUUCUCUUACUUGUAGCCAAAGGCAUCCUUAACAAUGUAAUUGACUCCACUUUGCAGAUGAACAAAGAGACAAAGAGGGCAAGUGACACCUACAGUCACACCACUGGUAAAUGUAUUAAGAACAUGCAGGCAUUAGGGAGUAAAGUUUAUACAUAAUUUAAAGUAGUAUGUAGGAGUUUAGGACAGGCCACCCCAAAAUAUGCUGCUUUGGCAUAAAGACUACUUUGAGCUGGAGGAACUUGAAAAACAGUACAUGCAGACAGUGGCUUUCUCUGAAUUCCCUUUAUCUGCCUAAAGACAAAACCUCCAAAAGGAGCUCAGUUGUCGUCAGUACCCCCACCCCUGGGAGUUUCAUCAACCAGGGAAAAUUAACUCUUAUCACAGGAGAGGAGAAUGGAGGUGACAUCACACCCAAGGUUUGUCACAAGCUAUCACUUAUUCUGAGGGUCUAUUCAUCUUUCCCCAAAAUCAUUUUCUCUCUCCUAAAUUGCCUACAUCCCCCCUCCCUGCUUUCCCCAAAAAGAGGGUAUAUAACCUUCUAAAUCUCACUGUUUUAAGGGGUAUGACUUUUUUUCCUAUGAUGUCCCUGUGCACUUAAUAAACUUGUGUAUCUUUUAUCCUGUUAAUCUGCCUGUUGUCAGUUUAUUUCAUAGACCCAGUUACUAAACCUUGGAAAUUAGAGGGAAAAUCUUCUCCCUCCUCCCUCCCAAAGGACUUCCAAACAUAUUUUAUAAAUUAUAUGUACUUAUACUGUCAUAGUCACAUAUACACACCACAACUAAAAUUAUGGUUCA
rnacentral:lncRNA from 1 species